rnacentral:rRNA from 1 species
UACGGAGGGUGCAAGCGUUAUCCGGAUUUAUUGGGUUUAAAGGGUGCGUAGGCGGACUGAUAAGUCAGUGGUGAAAUCCCAUAGCUCAACUAUGGAACUGCCAUUGAUACUGUUAGUCUUGAAUUUAUUUGAAGUAGGCGGAAUAUGUAGUGUAGCGGUGAAAUGCAUAGAUAUUACAUAGAACACCAAUUGCGAAGGCAGCUUGCUAAGAUACAAUUGACGCUGAUGCACGAAAGCGUGGGUAGCGAACAGG